ensembl:lncRNA
GGUUGUUGAUCGCGUAACAGUCUCGGUGUAGAUUCCAACCGAAUGGUAGCAUUCAGAGGUGCGCUGUGAGCCGCUGGCUUAAGUAGGAAGUUGCCAACUUCCUGGUACUGCCGAUUGUGUCGUUGCCGACUGCUGUUUUUGCCACCCGUUGUUUACCACCAAAGCUGCCCAACUGUCCUGGGCUAGCCUGGAGGAUAGCGGCGAAGACGCUAACGACCACUCCUUUUGAACGUGAUCUGUCUGUUGACUUGUCCUUGUGUGUUUCCACCUGUCCCUGUCGCAACUAGUGUGUGUCGGUGUGUGUGUGUAGAGUGUUGGCGAGUGCGUGCGUGUUUGUCCUGGGCUAGCCUGGAGGAUAGCGGCGAAGACGCUAACGACCACUCCUUUUGAACGCGCUGAGUGCCCACCGCAGGGAGGCAACUAGAUCCUUUAGGUGGUGGUGCCCCCUUCCCGAGUGUGGUUUCACGUGUGUCCUCUUGG